CAGGGGAAGAACGGAACAGUGACAGCGGCAGAGGAAGCAAAAAAGCAGAAGUGAUAGAGGGGGCAGAGACCAGCACCGAUCCGCUGGUUGGGAUCUGGCCGGCCGCAGCAGGCUGGCGGUGGCAGGAAGCCAUGCGCGCCUACCGUGGCCCUUAAGAGCACAGAGGGGGAGAGACUGAGAGGGUGAGCGAGAGUUCCCGGGAGAGAGUGAGACCAUAAGGGAAGAGGAGAGAUCCGAGAGUGAAGAAUCCGACAUUGAGAGUCUUUCUCUAGUGACCACCGCGCCGGAGCUUUAGUCGACAAGACGGUCGUCCGACGUUUCCCCUUCCUCGAGCCAAAGUCACGCGUGCGGGGUGACCGGACCGUAGUCCAAUCUACCGAGCUCGCCCCCCAUUUGCUGCCGCCGAGCCGUGUAGGGACGCCACUGCCGACACCCCUAUUUUUCUUGUCUUUUUUGCUCUGUUUUUGGUCUCGGCCAACCGGGGCCGAGACUCGCCGACGCUCGCUUGCACUCGUUUCCGAGGGUCGGUGCGCCUUCCCCAGCCAUUUUUUGUGUUGAUUGUGAUCGUGGGGUUUGAGCCUUAAUCGGCUCUGUUCUUGUUCCCAGUCAGUCGCACGUAACUCGUUUGACAAAAUGCUCAUGAAAAACUCUGUGUAAGUGAUUUCGUUUCCUGUCGUCAUCCAAGGGCUAUUACUGUGGACUACAUCACGUUAAUCAAUCCUCGAGUCAUUUUAACGAUGAGAUGCUCUUCUACACCAUCGUUUUACUUUGUUUUGUAUAUCAUGCUUUGUGGCUACCAAUGACAGUCCACUAGUGGUGUCCGACAAA